UCCUAAUUCUUAUGCAGCUUUAAAAAUCCAUCUAAACUUCAUCCACCUCUGUCUCCCAGCCUGUUUGUAGCCAGAGAUGAGACGUUCAGGACGGUGCGUGUGUAGCGGAGUCACUGCGCUGGUGCCGCGUUCACUUUUAACUAGGAUUAAGGAUCUGUUCAUCCAGCUGGAAAGAUGUUCCAACAGCAAGCAGGCUGGCUAAAGGUAAGAGAGGCGCUGCCACAAUUUCCGAUGGGCUCGGCCUUGGCCAGCGCCGGGCCGGUCCUGCAGCCGGCUGGAAUCGGCUCCGUGGGACAAGGAGGACGCCUCUGGCAGUUUCCACAGCAGCCCCCCUGUAGCCCCCUGCUACCAAAACCCGGCCAUGCAAACACAAUACCUCCGUCUGUCUUAAAGUAAUUCAAAUGAAAUUAUAAAAUAAAUACAGACACUGCCUCUGAAGUUCCAUUACUAA